rnacentral:rRNA from 1 species
UGGGGAAUAUUGGACAAUGGGCGAAAGCCUGAUCCAGCCAUGCCGCGUGUGUGAAGAAGGUCUUCGGAUUGUAAAGCACUUUAAGUUGGGAGGAAGGGCAGUUACCUAAUACGUAUCUGUUUUGACGUUACCGACAGAAUAAGCACCGGCUAACUCUGUGCCAGCAGCCGCGGUAAUACAGAGGGUGCAAGCGUUAAUCGGAAUUACUGGGCGUAAAGCGCGCGUAGGUGGUUUGUUAAGUUGGAUGUGAAAUCCCCGGGCUCAACCUGGGAACUGCAUUCAAAACUGACAAGCUAGAGUAUGGUAGAGGGUGGUGGAAUUUCCUGUGUAGCGGUGAAAUGCGUAGAUAUAGGAAGGAACGCCAGUGGCGAAGGCGACCACCUGGACUGAUACUGACACUGAGGUGCGAAAGCGUGGGGAGCAAACAGGAUUAGAUACCCAUGUAGUCCCUGAGCGGGCUGGCAAGGCGCAU